CAGCUCCCAAUAAAAAAUCCUAAACUCUCAGUCUCAAAUAGGAUUCCCUAGGCAGAAACACUGCAUAUGUGGUGUAUUUUUUCUGCUGUAAAGACAGUACACUCUGUGUGAUCCCUCAUGGGAAGAAUAGAGUAUAGGAAACCUGCAUACAUAUUACUCGAGACUCAGAUUGUGUCUUUUUCCCUAACUGAACAAACUGAGUAUCCUGACCAUGUUACCUGUAAAAAUUUGAAACAUGGAAGAAACUGUAUGCUGAGCUUGUGAGUCCUAGUAAACUACUGAGGAUGUGGGUGGUCUUGUGGACUCCUGAAACAGCUGUCAUGUAUUUUAUUUCCACACAUAUCUUAAACUCAAGGCUGAGACAUUAUCUUCAUUAGCUUGAUCCUGGGUGGUGGUUUGCCCAGAGUCCUCAAUUCUCCAGUUCCCAACUGAUGCUCUUGAUGAUCUGUUCCCUGUAUCACAAGUCCUAUUUCACCACUCAGGCUUUCAUAAAUGUUUUAGGUAAAUUCUUGCUUCUCAUUCUCAAUGAGAAUGGAAUGAAGACUGUUAAGUAUAUGUACUGUAUCACAUUAUUUGUAACUAAUAUAUUUUAGCUACAUGUUUUAAUUUUUAACAAGUGUUAAAAAGAUAAGUACUGGAAAUGUUCAUAUUACAAAUGAUACAGUUUGGGGUACAGCCCCACAACCCCAGAGCACUAAGUUGAUUGAUCACUCUAUAAUAAUGAUACAGUCACAUAAAUGGGUAUAUGUGUAUAUUAAUUAGAGUUUGGGCCAAUAGUGACCAACUCGGUUAUUUUGCUUUAGACUAACAGUAUAAUUUUCUCCCAUAGCAUUUAAUAAACUGUCUAAACACUUUAUCCAUGCCAUUAAAAAAGUAUAAAAUAUAUAUUUAAAUUAUUUAAUAAAUUCAAAUCCUUCCUGAAAACUCAGAAUGCAACUUUAUUUGAAAAUAAGAUCUUAAGAAAUGGAAUUCAUUAGGUUAGGAGAAGGACAUACUAAAGUAGAGUGAGUCCUAAAUCCUGUCUGACUGGCAUCCUAUAACAACAGGGAGAGAGAUCAAAGACACAAAGAAAGGAAGUCAAUCUGAAGUCAGAGACAAAGAUCAGAGUGAUAUAUUGACCAGCCUAUGAACGCUAAGCAUGACCAGAAACUACGGAGCUGGAAAGGGGCAAGAAAAUAGCCUCCCUUAGAUUCUUCAGAGAAAAAAUUAUUCAACUCUGUCGACACCUUGAUUUCAAAUCUCCAGCCUCCAAAACUGUGAAAGAAUAAAUUUCUGUUCUUUUACGCCACUCAGUUUGUUGUACUUACUUAUGGCAGCCCUAGAAAACU
rnacentral:lncRNA from 1 species